UACGUAGGGGGCAAGCGUUGUCCGGAAUUACUGGGCGUAAAGGGCGCGUAGGCGGCCCGCUAAGUCGAACGUGAAAUCCCCGAGCUCAACUCGGGAACUGCGUCCGAUACUGGUGGGCUUGAAUCCGGGAGAGGGAUGCGGAAUUCCAGGUGUAGCGGUGAAAUGCGUAGAUAUCUGGAGGAACACCGGUGGCGAAGGCGGCAUCCUGGACCGGUAUUGACGCUGAGGAGCGAAAGCCAGGGGAGCAAACGGG
rnacentral:rRNA from 1 species